GGCCUCCCGGGGCAGCAGUGCCCGCGUCCGCCGGCGAUUUCCGGGGGCUGCCCGGUCGCUCUCCCGACGGCGCCGCGUCGGCAGCAGUGAAACUGCUCAGGACUUGUUUAGGUUGGGCCUGCCCUUGGAGCUGAGAGCCGGCUGGACAGCGCUCACUCUGUGGAGGUGUCAUUAUACCCGCCAGUGGUUUUACAGAAAAGACGGGUUACAAGGAGGCUCAAGCAGGACUGAGAGCUGGGCCUUGGUCCAUGGGCCUCGGGUCAUGCUGUGAGGUGGGAGUACUUCUCCUCGAGUCCCAUUGGGAGGGAUUCUGAGGUCAGGAGCUUCUCAGACUCUCGGGCUUACUAUGGUGCUGGAUGCCAGGGACACACAGUUUUGAAGAGAAAAGCUUCCAGACAGUACUAACCUCCACGAAACAGGGAUCACAGUGUCUGGUACACAGAAGACAGUCAAUAUUGUGGAUGAAGAAGGAAAAGAAUCUAUAAUCUUCUCAGCCAAGCUACACAUGUCUCCACCCAAACAAGAAGAGGUAAAAAGCAGUUAACUGAAAAGUUCCAGGGCUUCAGAAUGAGAUUCCAUGAGUCUCAAACCUGGCAAUUUCUCUCAGGGAGAAAUUUAUGGAGUCUUAGAAACCUCAAAGAAUUCUUUUGAAAACUUAUUUUUGCCUAGAAAUUUAGACGGCAGUUCAUAAUCCUUUUCUUGCUGACAGUAUCACUAAUGGUCACCUUGCAAAAAUCAUCCACGGAUAGGAGGACAGGGGAAUGUCUUGGCAUGGAUGUAAUCCAAAGACUGCUGGAGAAUUACAGCAAUCUCUUGACAGGAGCCUGGAAAAGUCCUGGCCACUGACUGCAUCUAAACCUCAUGCCUGGCUAAAUCAAAUCACCCACGUUGCCACUAAAAUAAAAAUUUUAAGUUGGCUGAGCAUCAAAGAGGACAGAUAGAAGGGCUAUACUGCUUUUCCAUUCCACAAUUUAAACUUCUUACUCAAACCAAAGAAGAGCAGGUUUCUCAGGUAUGUCCUUCAAAGUCAAACUUAGGUUACUCUUUUGUUUUAGUUACACAAUUUUCCAUAUUUCUAUUUUCAUUGAUUUUUGCACCCAAAAAAUGAGAGAAAAAAAAGUGACAUGAUUUUUUGUAAAGGUAAUGUUUAUCUUCUAGGAGAAAAAAAUUGAUUUCUGGUGCCAUACAAUAAAUUGUACAUCCUGAUGAUGUGACUUCGGUGACUAUCAAAUACUCUGAUUUUCUCCCUAAUGCCCCACUUUUCUAUUUUUGGCUCUGUGUGAAUUUGGGGAAAGAGGACUGUGGAACUCAAGACACAAGAGAGACCCCACGUAUCUGACAGCGAGCACGGCCUCUGCCUCCAGCUUCCCUUGAGAGACCAUGCACUCAAUUUCCAUCUUGGGAUUCCAUGAUCUGAGAGAGAACUCAGUCCUAGAACUCAGGUUACCCACCACUGGAGUUUCCUGCACACAUUACACAGUUCCAUGGCUCCACGACUGUGCUCAUGCUGUCGCACCCUCUGGAACACCCUAUCCACCGUCCUUUGUGUGGCUGGCUCAUCGUCAUCGUUCCUUAGGCCAGGGAGCCUUCCCCGAACUCCACUGACUGGCUCCACGGCUCUCUGGCUAUCUGUCUACCUCAUCUACCAUAUUAUGUUGAAAUUACCAGUUUAAGUGUCUACUUUCUUUACCAGACAAAUAGAAAAAGGGAAAGUAGUAACUGUUCAGUGGAGAGACCAGACAAAUACUACCUUAACCAAGUAACCAAAGUAACGUCACCAGUAAUGGGACAAAUGGAGACAUGUGUCUCCCGAUAUAAUAUUCUGGGAAGGACACAGCAUCACUUCUGUGGUAUUCCUGCCAAAAAUUUGUAACUUAAUCUGAUACACCAGACAAACCUAAAUUAAAGGACAUUAGACAAAAUACAUGUAAAGAUCAUCAAAGACAAAGACAGACUGAGGAACUGUUCUAGACCAAAGGAGAAAUAUAGGACAUGAAAACUAAAUGUAAUUCUGAAUUAGAUCACUGUAUAAAAUAUUAGUAGAAAAACUAGCAAAAUUUGAAAGGCUUAUCUAUUAGACAACAGUACUAUAUCAAUGUUAAUUUCCAGCACUGUGGUUAUAGAAGGGGAUGGUGUUGUCUUUAGGAAAUACGGCCUUAAGCAUUGUUAGCAAUGUACUGAAACAGUUCAGAGAAAAAAAUUAUACAUAGAAAUGGAACAAAGUAAAGCAACCAAGAUAAAAUGCUAACAUUUGGGGAACCAGUGGGAUUAUAUGGACAUUAUUUGUACUAUUUUUGCAACUAUUCUGUAAGUCUUAAGUUAUAUCCAGAUAAGUUUAAAAUUUUUUCAAGUACAAAAGCCUCAAGAAAACUUUCUUCUUAGAUGAGAAUAAUAAAGUAUGGGAUUAGAAGCAUGUACUCUAUGUUCAGGGUAGAUGAGAAAAUCCAGUGAUUACUUUUAAAGUGCAAUCAGUGGGUACCCGGAGUGCUAAUUGGAAGUUGGCACAAUUCCAGGUCACUGACACAAUCUCCCAAAUUAACCCAACACACUGGACAGCAGAGCAGGAAAAGAUAUUUUCUUUAUUACGUAGUCGUAAGUGAGAAGCAAGAACACUGCAAAAUAAUACUGAGCUAUCUAUAUCCUUUACAAAUAAAUAUUCUUCUCACAGGCUUUCCAACUAAAAAAAAAAAAAUAUCUCCACCUUAAAGGAAAUUAUCCUACAAAAUACUGUACACAACAUGAAAGCAACAACACAUUGUACAAGGGUCACAAUUUGCAGUCCAUUGAUGCUCACUGCCAGCUGGGGUAUCAUCUAAGAGAUGGGGCCGGUUAUUUCAGAGUUGGCAUUUCUAUGACAAGAUGGGCAGGACUAGCUGAAGGGCUCUGGAACAGAGUCAGACUGUACAUGCCAGCAGACCAUGGCACCUGAGGAGGUACCAGAGCACACACCUGGGGAGGUAAGCCGUGGGACCCGGCGUAACGAGCACAUCAGUGAGGAACGUGAGCGUCACAAGGGGUCACAAGGCAGCUUUGACCACCCCCAGGGGAGAAGAAAUGGAUUUACCCGCCCUGCUGCAGACAACACUUACGGGAAGGCAGGUUUCAACCCAAGUCAAGGAAACAAUUUCUAAGAAAGCUCUCCACCAACAGAACAGGUGGCCUAGUAAAGCUGCCAGCCUCUCACCACUGACUAUAUUCAAGUACAUCGAAGGGACACUCCGAAGUACCACAAGUGUGUAGGAUUCUUCCAUCAUAGAGGCACCAACUGGCAACACUGAAGUCAGGUCUUUCAGUGGCAGCGUCCUGGGCCUCUAGGUGUCACAGCAGCCCUCUUCCAGCUGUGACAGCCAAACAUGUCCGCAGACACUGCCCAAUGUCCGCAGGGAGCAAAAGUGGCCCAGCUGAGGCACUCCUAGCAGCGAACAUCUCUGCGGCUGUGCCGAGAAAGUGCAGUGCCACAGCCUCUCAGAAGAAGGGCCCACGGCUCGGCUUGAAAAGCGCUGCUGGUCGUGUGCCGGCUGGGGGUGCAGCAGGGCGGGCAACCUGCACCCCACCUGUCCACGCAGCUUCUGGAGCUCUGGGAAUGGCCAAAGCUUAUGCUCUUAAUAACGUUGCAUUAGCCCUGCAGAAAGCUCCUCCAUUCAAUGGGAGCUGCUGGCAGAAGGACAGUCCCCACCUGCGGUUACAAGGGCAGGUGACCCUGUCCUGUGGCCCCUCCAUUCGCAUCCUCAGCCGCAGGAGGCAGCCAACACCUGCCGCUGGCUCGGCCGUCCCGGCUGCACAGCCUUAAGACUGUCUUCGGAGCAGCUGCUGAGGAGCAGGAAACUGCUGGCUUUUGAAAGAAACAGACUGGACCACCUCCAAGUGGUGCACAUGCACCUUUUCUAAGUAGCUCUCCCCCUACAAGCACUUCUGAAAGCCCUUCUGAAAUGGGACCCUCGUCUGCCCUCGCCAGGUUCUUUACAGGUCGUAACUGCGUCACUCUAGAGUCGUCUGCUAGGUUCCACUUACCUUUCGGGGCGACAAGGAGCCAGUGGAUUCCCCUAUAUGUAGGCUCAUAAGCACGAAAAUAUUUUUAUUUUUUAAAAAUAGAGAAAAACAGUCCAAAAUAUUUACAUUUCGAGGAGAUUUAAAAUAAAAGCGUUACAAAUGCAAAUGAGUUUGUACAAAGGGAGGGCUUUCAAUCCCGGGCUCCUGCUGAGCCAGCCGCUAAACUGCAGCACCUUCUGCCAGCAGCUCCCAUUAAGCGGAGGAGCUUUCUGCAGGGCUAACGCAACGUUAUUAAGAGCGUAAGCUUUGGCCAUUAUUGCACAACUGAGUUAACCUCUAUCCCAAGGGCAACAUUUUGCAGCUGUUUGCAGUGAGUCAGUACUUUCUCCUCUUUCCUUAUUUUAUUCUUUUUUUUCCCUUCAAUUUGGGUAAAUCACCCUUUACAUUUUUGCUGGUAGCGAGAGGCAUUAGAACUUUGAGUCUGCUUCUUGCUGGUGUGAAUUAGCUGCCUGCUUUCUAAAAGACAGAGAUGGAAAUGGCAGUCAUGUGACAUCUGUUCGAAUUAAAGUUACAAAAUGAUCAAUAUAUAAGGUGGGACACACAAAAUAGGUAGCAGCAUCCCUCUGAGGUAACACAAAACAUCACCUUUCAGGUGGUAUUUCAUCAUUACAUAUGUAAUUUGGUCUCGUAACACAGUUUUCUUUCCCCUAGAAUUAGCAAUAUUUGCUUGUAGUAACACUUGGUACAAUCUGAGCCAAGCACAUAAAAUAGAUUUAUCACAGGAGUGACUACUUCUCAGAAUGCUUGAAACUGUAUAGACCAGUGGUUCUCAAAGCAGGGCCCCUAACCAGCAGCAUCCAUGGGAACUUGCUAGAAAUGACGAUGAUCCAAGAUUUAAGGGAUCAGGAAUUCUGAGGGUGGGGCCAGGCUGUCUGCUCCAAGCAGCCCUGCAGGCCACUGGGAGGCAUUGGGGUUUGGGGAGGCUGAGGAGGCUCUGACCCCGACCGACCGUCUGGGCCCAGGGUUUGAAUCCACUCUCAUUGUCUCACUUUACUCACCACUAAAACUGAGAUGCUAGGAAACUAUCUUGUAGGAUCGCUGUGAGGUGGGAAGUAGUUAAUAAAUGUAAGAUGUUUACAGUGGUUGGCUAGGGCCGGCAGUGGGAGCAGGGAUUGGCUGCAAACAGGCAGAAAGGACCUUUGGGGCUGACGGAAAUGUUUUAAAACUGAAUUGUAGAGUCAGUUGCACAAUUCUAUAAAUUAACAAAAAUCAUUGAAUUUUAACUUAUAAGGGGUGAAUGCUGUUGCCUGUAAAGUAUACUUACUUCAACAAAACUUUAAUUGUUUAGGAGAGUGGCGAGUUCAUAGUAUUGGAUAUCGGCUCUUCUCAUUUAAGCCACGCAGUUAUUAAGCUGUACCUGUUCUAAAAGGAACUAAUCUCCACUCAUAGUGCUAAGAGUCUUAUUCUGCUUUGAUGUCUUCACUGGGAUCUGUGCUGUUACCUGUUAACUGAUUCAAAAAGUAAAUCAGGCCUGUGGCAAUCACUCUUAUUAUGAAGAUUUUACAGAUGAGAAAAUGAUACCCCACAGCAUAUAGUAAUCUAUCAAUGGCCAACUGAUACGUAACCAAUCUGGUUAUAUUACUCCACAGAUACCACUUUUUUUCUAAAAAAUGUUGUAUGUGUUUAUCUGUAAUUCCUGAGAGGCUUCAGUAUCGCCGUCGCUAUUUCAAUUAGCAGUGACUCAUCACUGACCAGGAUACAGGCGGGAGAAGCAACACAAGACAAAAGACAGGAAAAGACAGAUGUGGCUUCGGAAAGCCUUCGAAAACAACCACACCGUAGUGCCACAAGUACAUAUGGGGAGGCAUUUAAUAAUGUUUACUGAUUGGGUUGAGAACUGACAAUGCUGAAUUUUCCCUAAGCCCUGUGCUCCCGGAAAACAGAAAUAGUUCCAGAAUCCUCCACUCUUUUGUGUCUAGUAAAUGGCUAAAGGCAAAGAGCUGCAUCACCCUACGACUUAAACAGGGCUCACUGUCCGCUCCUCCUCAUGACCCUGUAGGGCUUGAGAUGUCUCCGCCGAGUCCCUGCGUCUGUACAACCUGAGCCCUUCCUUCCCUUCAAGACCAUCCUUAUUAAUAACCAUUCCUCCUUUUGCAACACCCUGAGUAAAAUUAUCUUCUCAAUCAUCCAGUGCAUUUUGUUUUUGACACAUAAAUACAAUGAACAAGUUUGGCUGGCCUUUCUAUCCAUUCUUGGUUAACAAUGUUAUUUGAAACCCUUGAUAUGUUCACUAUAUGUUAGAAUAUACACAUAUAUGCACACACAUACACAUACCUAUUUAGCUUUUAAUUCCAUGUGUUAGUGCUGGAGUAGAAAAAAGAGGGUAAGAUUAAUUUGCACACGCAACUACCUAUGACUGAUCAUCUAGAACUGGGGGUGGACACACUUUUUCUAUAAAUGAAGAUUUUAGGCUUUGCCUGUCCUACUGUGUCUUUACACCUCCUCGACUCAGCCGUGGCAGUGUUGAAAGCAGCCAAGAGAAUACAGAAAUGAAUGGGCGCAGCUGUGUUCCCAGUAAAACUGGAUUUACAAAAGCAAGUGGAGGGCUGUAGUUUACCACUGAUCUACAGUAGUGUCUCCCAAAGGUAUUCACCAAGGAACACUAUAUUUAGGGCUUAUUAAUAGGUAAUGUGAAAAAAAAAUAAAAUAUGGGGGAUAAGAAAGUGGCCAAAUAAUAUGGUAAAACAGAUUUGGGAAAAUCUGGGAAACAAGUCUCUUUAUUGCAGUACUUCUCAACAACUUCAAAACGCUAAUGUACACUGUGAAUCUGCAAAGGAUAUCCCUUGCAAUAUUUUUCAAAACCUCAAGUCAGAGAGUUAUUGUGUCUCAAAAGUAUUUUUUUAAUCUAUAUAAUUAUUAGUAAGCCAAUAUUUUUUAAAAUACUGACAUUUUCAAGUACCUACAUAUUUGAAACCUUUGCAUGGGGUCACCUUUCCAAAAUGUAUUAUAUAAUUCCUACUCACACAAGUAUAAUAUAGAGAACAUGUUUAGCUUAUUUCAGUUGAGACAAGUCCCCUAUAAGUCAUUUGCUACUGUAUUUCCUAUACAAGUAUAACUGGGUUUCUUUUUUGGGGUGGGGGGGUGUUGCCAAGUCAUUGGAGCAUCAGCUAUUAUUUCUGCUUCUAGGACCUUGCUGCCAUCCUGCUUCCUUCCAAUCCCUAAUGAAAAGGUCCCAAGCAGCAUCUCCUAUGUUACUCUACAAAACCAGUUCCAGAAACGCUAAUACACACCAAGCGAAUAAAAGGUUUCAGUGCUCAAAAUGAGUUUGAGGAUACUGUGUUCCAUAUUCCCUCUUGGAGAUUCAAAUGAAUUAUCAGCUAAGUGAAGACUGAGAAGUGCUGAAGUAAAAAGUAUUGUUUAAUUUAUCCUACCAUUUCCCAAAUUUAUCUGAAAUAGAGUAUCUUUUCUGAAUACUACUAUUCACAUUGUUGGCAAAAUUGUCUUAUACACACAUGAACCAGCUAAUUAAAAAUCUUAAGAAUUCUGUGUGAUUUAAGAGUCAAUAAACUAAAGCCAAGAACUUACUGACACCCAUUCAGUGAUUCUCAAGUUUUUUCCAGUUAUUACAGGUUAAAAAAAAAUCUAUGGUGAGACACGUCAAGACACCAGAACUCUGGAGCGUUACUCUUAAAGAAAUGUGGCUUCCUUUCAGCACCUUACUAACAACACUGCUUUCUUUUUAUGUUCAUACCUUUAUGCCUUAAUUUGCUCUAUUAUACAGUUAAAAGUAAUUUGUAGUUUGUACCUUCUAUGUCUUACUGUCAUUCUUCUCUUGCUCAAUAAUCAGUAUUUUACAUUUCAGCUACUUUUAAUUAGUACAUCUGUACUUUGAUGUGUUUUUCGGGUAUGCUACUGAAUAUAUAAGCAAUACAUA